rnacentral:rRNA from 1 species
CAGCAGCCGCGGGAAUACGUAGGGUGCGAGCGUUAAUCGGAAUUACUGGGCGUAAAGCGUGCGCAGGCGGUUAUAUAAGACAGAUGUGAAAUCCCCGGGCUCAACCUGGGACCUGCAUUUGUGACUGUAUAGCUAGAGUACGGUAGAGGGGGAUGGAAUUCCGCGUGUAGCAGUGAAAUGCGUAGAUAUGCGGAGGAACACCGAUGGCGAAGGCAAUCCCCUGGACCUGUACUGACGCUCACGCACGAAAGCGUGGGGAGCAAACAGGAUUAGAUACCCGCGUAGUCCCUGUCUCUUAUAC